AUUGAACGCUGGCGGCAGGCCUAACACAUGCAAGUCGAACGAGUGGCGGACGGGUGAGUAAUGUCUGGGACACUGCCCGAUGGAGGGGGAUAACUACUGGAAACGGUAGCUAAUACCGCAUACCAUCGGAUGUGCCCCGAUGGGAUUAGCUAGUAGGUGGGGUAAAGGCUCACGUAGGCGACGAUCCCUAGCUGGUCUGAGAGGAUGACCGGGGACACUGGAGCUGAGGCACGGUGCAGACGCAUACGGGAGGCAGCAGUGGGGAAGAUGGCACAAUGGGCGCAAGCCUGAUGCAACCAUGCAGCGUGUACGAGGGAGGCCUUGGGGUUGUAAAGUUCUUGCAGCGGGGAGGCGUUACCCGCAGAAGAAGCACCGGCUAACUCCGUGCCAGCCGCCGCGGUAAUAC
rnacentral:rRNA from 1 species